GCGCGAAAACUUCGCAAUGUGCGAAAGCACGACGAGGGAAUCCCAAGUGCUGGCUCGUUAGAGUCAGCUGUUUUUAUGUCUAAAAAGCAUAGAGAGUAAGGGCUGGGUAAGACGGGUGCCAGCCGCCGCGGUAAUACCUGCAGCUCAAGUGGUGACCGCUAUUAUUGGGCCUAAAACGUCCGUAGCCUGUUUAUUAAAUGCCUAGGUAAAUUGUAUGGCUUAACCAUGCGAAUUCUGGGUAGACUGGUAAACUUGAGAUCGGGAGAAGUUAGAGGUACUCCUGGGGUAGAGGUGAAAUUCUGUAAUCCUAGGGGGACCACCAGUGGCGAAGGCGUCUAGCUAGAACGAGUUUGACGGUGAGGGACGAAGCCCUGGGGCGCAAACGGGAUUAGAUACCCCGGUAGUCCAGGGUGUAAACGCUGCUUGCUUGAUGUUGGUUGGGCUCCGAGCCCAAUCAGUGUCGGAGAGAAGUUGUUAAGCAAGCUGCCUGGGAAGUAGAUACGCGUAGACUGAAACUUAAAGGUAAGUUAGGUC
rnacentral:rRNA from 1 species